AUGUGCUUAGCCUUUUUAUGCAUACAAUUAGUGGAACCUUUUACAUGUCCAGUGUGCGCAUGUCCAGAAACUAAGCUUUUGCAUGUCCUGUGUAUUCUAAAGCUUAGUCUUUUGUUAUUGGGUCAGUACUUGAAACAGUGUCUUGGUCUGCCAGUCGUAGAAUUAUUUAUGAAUAGCAUAGGUGUUGCCUUCACUUGUAUUCCUACGCAUAGUCCAACACUUCUUUUUCCUUGA
rnacentral:rRNA from 1 species